rnacentral:rRNA from 1 species
UGGGGAAUAUUGGACAAUGGGCGCAAGCCUGAUCCAGCCAUGCCGCGUGAGUGAUGAAGGCCCUAGGGUUGUAAAGCUCUUUCACCGGUGAAGAUAAUGACGGUAACCGGAGAAGAAGCCCCGGCUAACUUCGUGCCAGCAGCCGCGGUAAUACGAAGGGGGCUAGCGUUGUUCGGAUUUACUGGGCGUAAAGCGCACGUAGGCGGACUUUUAAGUCAGGGGUGAAAUCCCGGGGCUCAACCCCGGAACUGCCUUUGAUACUGGAAGUCUUGAGUAUGGUAGAGGUGAGUGGAAUUCCGAGUGUAGAGGUGAAAUUCGUAGUUAUUCGGAGGAACACCAGUGGCGAAGGCGGCUCACUGGACCAUUACUGACGCUGAGGUGCGAAAGCGUGGGGAGCAAACAGG